CCCAUCCCCCUCCAGUUCCAAACUAUGUCAAGCUGAAUUCGCGCUAGGAUGUCCAAGGAUACAAACAACCCCACACCCCAAUCAAAUUCAGGCUUGACAGGCUGCCCCCCCCCUCAACAGAAGGAACAACCCUGGAAAGGAAUCUUAUUUCAAAAUAUCCACAUCAAUUUGUUCCAGUUUGAGAUUCAGCCACAUACAAAACACAGAUAGAUGGAGAAGAAUUCUAUCGGGAGCUUUGAACACAGAAACUGCAUUGCUCUUCAGGAGCUAAUAUGUGGCUCAUACUGGCUAGCAACCUGGUAGCUACAGUGUGUGACUAAUCCACUGUGCAAAGACAACUUUAAUGUGAGGGGAAAAAUAAGAGGAAACAAGACCAGGAGAGAGCUGAUCAAUGCCUUGAUUAUUAUUACCUCUCCUCUAUGAGGAGAAAGGAAGUGUAUGUAUACCUUAAUAGGUUGCCUAUCACCAAUUUGUGAUCUUUUAGUGAUACUUAUUAGGGACAGGAAUAAAGGUGUAAGAUUGGU